rnacentral:rRNA from 1 species
GACGGAGGAUGCAAGCGUUAUCCGGAAUGAUUGGGCGUAAAGCGUCCGCAGGUGGCAGUUCAAGUCUGCUGUCAAAGACCGGGGCUUAACUUCGGAAAGGCAGUGGAAACUGAACAGCUAGAGUAUGGUAGGGGCAGAGGGAAUUCCUGGUGUAGCGGUGAAAUGCGUAGAGAUCAGGAAGAACACCAGUGGCGAAAGCGGCUACCUGGCCCAUUCUUGACGCUGAGGCGCGAAAGCUAGGGGAGCAAACGGG